AGAGUGGCGUGAAGGAAAAUUUCUUUGAUGCUUGUUACGAAAAAGUCAAAAAUUUAAGACAUAAAAUGAUCGAGAAGGGUUUAGGGGAUUAGGGUACAUUUUUUACAUAUCUUUCUUGACAUUUUCUUGGAUAUUCAAUUAUGGUUUCUUGUGCCAGAUAAUGAUUGGUCGAUGAUCCUCCCGGCAUGGAAGACACGAGGCUUCCGUUCUUCGAUCUUGAGUUUGGCUUUUAUUACGCGAAGCAUAUUUUUUACGUAAUGCAUCCUAAGCAUGUCACUUGUAAGUAAUACUAAUGAUGACUGACAACUUGACAUCGGAACCCUGGAGAUAACUUUCUGUCUCGAAUGUGGCGUUCGAUGCCCUGACGAAUGCUACGGCCCUGUUCAAUACUAACGGCUAUUGCAGCCAAGCUGUGCCCUCUUUCGACUUCACUAACCACCAUAUACUGUAACAGUCGUUGGCGACAUGCGUCCGGCAAUGAAUUUAAAUGGAAUGUAAAAAUAAAUAAUCUGAGAUUCACAAUCACUGAAGAGGACUUAAAAAAGUUACUCCAAGGAUAUCGACAGUCAUCAAUUUCUCGAUAGAAGAUUCUCAUAUAUUGCAGAGUAACAAUCGACAUACCUCACCGCAAAAUAGUCCCUGGAAGUGAAUCGAAACUCGGUUUCCCGCGUGCGCAGCUACUUAAAUGAUGUCGCUGUUAAUGCGUCAUAUGAGACUAGCUUUUAUAUACACGGAAGGUAAUGUAUUGUACUGUAUUGUACACUCUCUUCCGGAUUGUAAAAAAAAUUCCAGCCAUUUUAUGUGAAGCAUUGAACCAAUCCGACAAAUAAAGUUUUCUUCUUGUUCACAAAGCUAGAAAUGAACAGCAUGAAAGAAAAUAUAUCUCGCAAUGUUAGAUUAGUUUUCAUCAAAUUGUAAAGUUCGAAGGUCAUGUACAUAUAUCUAUGGUCUGAAAUUGAUUAUAUUAAUAAUUUUUCAAUCGUUAAAACCAAAUCUUGGACAGGUACGUUGAGUUUCUUGUAAAGAUCAGAAGUGGAUGUAAUUCUGUGCCUGUCAUGAUGAGAUAAUUAAUAUUGUCUUAAAAACAAUUUGUAAAGAGAUGAAUAAAUCCGAUAGGAGCAAUCCCUCGGAUGUACAGCUAUGUUAAUCAAAUUAUUGGUUUCAAUUUAUACACACAAAUUCAAUUGAUAUCUACGAAUUUUCAGGAAUGUUAUACAACCAGUUUAUGUAAUCCCUGCUACAGUCUAAGGUACAUUCUCUGAAUCUAUAGGUUCACUUUGAUUAAAUUGAUUAUUUGAAAACGUCUAUUCAAAAUGCUGUAACGUUGAACAAUUAUAUUUCUGUGACAUAGAGUAUAUUAAGUAAUAUGACUGAUCAUUCUGUUGUUAAGAUUUUAGCACCUCAUCUUUACUCCAUGCCAGAAUGAUCCGCCCCUGGAGGUGUAGAAUCCGUCAAGGGUUGAGAUCAAUAUGCGCUCAUUGAUUGCACUAUAGCUGCGCUGCGUCGACCCUGUGUCUCUUCCUCGCUUAGUUUUCUGUCUUUACACCGCGUUCCGCUAAACAGUAAACGGGAAGACUUGAUGGUAUCAAUCUACUUGUAUUUCUUACAUAAUUGCCUACAUACUAAUGCUUCGGGUAGACUGUGGACGAAUGUACUGAUAAGGUUCAUUUUCUUAGACACUGUAUUGACCUAGUAGCACAGAAAUCUGAUAGAGUUAUUGAUAAGAGAGAAACGACACGGUUAAAUAGUAAUUCUUUGUUAUAGACUUCCAGUUUUCAAAUACACGAUAACUGUGUUUUUAUGCAUAAUCAGUAGAUAUGAUUUCAGUCUUGUAAUAUGUAUGUACGAUUUAUAUUUGUCGAACGAAAUUUCUAUGACAUGUUUGUGACGUCUUAUAAUGAUCAAUGAUAUCGACGAUAAGUAAUAUGUGGGAGAACAUUUUUUAAAAGAUAAAAGUGUCAAGGGUAAUGAUUUUUAUUUGAGCAUCUAAGGAGCAUCGCGGCGGCUUCUUUAUGCAUCGAUUGCACUUGCAAUCCGUAUCUUGACGUAUGCAGGGCCGUAUGUGUGUACGAGCAAUCAAAUUACUUCCUAUAAAUAGAUCUUGCUCUCUUUCUUCACAUCCUCCUCUGCCAUCUUCAACUGCCUUACCACGGACAUCAUCGUUUUUCUCCUGCGCAGUGUCAAGUGCAUACAAUACACAAAUUUCAAUUCCUUCACAAUGCAAUUCUACUGUUCGAUAAAAUGUAUUAUCGACAUUGUACUAAUAAUGAAGAACUUGAGUUACUAAAGAAUUCUGAUGGUACACACAAAUUUGGAGCAUUGUUGAUCUUAUUAAGCCUAAGUUUGUUAAUAGAGACGCAUUGGAGUAAUACUGUAGUAUAGUAAUAUAGUAGUAAAUACUGAAAGAAUUUAUGUUGCAAUCUGCAUAUUGAAAACGGUAGAUUUUAUAGAAAUUUUUAUUUAAAAAAAUAUAAUAUACAUAAAACAGUUUUAUAUACUUAUGAUUAACAUUUCUAACAUUUUUUAAUGUUUCUGUUAACCAUUACAAGUACAGAAAAAUUGCCGCUGCUUAUUAUGCGAGAAUUGACUAAAUUACUGAUAGCAGUUUGUACAAGGUUUGCAUAUUAAUGUUAUCUAUUGUAAUGCGUUUCUGUAAAGACGUGAAAUUACAGAAAAAUAGUAGAACGUCUCACAGUACUGGAUUUAUUAUUAUGGCUUUUCUUUAAUAAAGCACAAGUAUCAAGCUGA